UACGUAGGGUGCAAGCGUUGUCCGGAAUUAUUGGGCGUAAAGAGCUCGUAGGCGGUCUGUCGCGUCGAAUGUGAAAACCCGGGGCUCAACUCCGGGCUUGCAUUCGAUACGGGCAGGCUAGAGUUCGGUAGGGGAGUCUGGAAUUCCUGGUGUAGCGGUGAAAUGCGCAGAUAUCAGGAGGAACACCGGUGGCGAAGGCGGGACUCUGGGCCGAUACUGACGCUGAGGAGCGAAAGCCAGGGGAGCAAACGGG
rnacentral:rRNA from 1 species